rnacentral:lncRNA from 1 species
CUCUAUAUAUCUCCAACUUUUGACAUGGCCAUACGAGGCAGCCAACCACACCACCCUUUCACCUUUGUGCGUGUGCGCGCGUCGGUCCCGAGACACACCGGACAGACGCUGAUCUCCUCCCGGUCCGGCAGACGUGCAGCUGCAGCGCACGCCGUCAUCACCAACCACUCCCCGCACUACAGCCCAAUCAAGGUCAUCGUCGCCUUUUCCGCACAGCGCCACCACCACUCCAUGAUCGCGGUCGCGCCCCAACCGCCCUAGCUUUGCAGGCGGACGUCGUCUCGCGGCCAAAGUGUCGCCCCCGUCGCGUCCCCUUCCCCUUGGCGUCGCACGCGCGCCCCGCCGCCCCCCUAUAUAACCGAGCGGCGCGCCAGAGGCUUUUUCUUGCAUCGGUGAUCACUGAUCGCCCAGGUGUUCGAGCCCGCGUGCUGUGCGAGAGGGAUGGCGGCGAGCGGCAGGGGCGGCGCGGCGGCAAGUGCUCUGCUAGUAGUGCUGGUGGCGUUCGUGUGCUU